UACGGGGGGGGCAAGCGUUGUUCGGAAUUACUGGGCGUAAAGGGCUCGUAGGCGGCCAACUAAGUCAGACGUGAAAUCCCUCGGCUUAACCGGGGAACUGCGUCUGAUACUGGAUGGCUUGAGUUUGGGAGAGGGAUGCGGAAUUCCAGGUGUAGCGGUGAAAUGCGUAGAUAUCGUGAGGAAGACCAGUUGCGAAGGCGGAUCUCUGGGCAGUUCCUGACACUGAGGCACGAAGGCCAGGGGAGCAAACGGG
rnacentral:rRNA from 1 species